rnacentral:misc_RNA from 1 species
GAUGAAGAACGCAGUGAAAUGCGAUAAGUAAUGUGAAUUGCAGAAUUCAGUGAAUCAUCGAAUCUUUGAACGCACAUUGCGCCCGCCAGUAUUCUGGCGGGCAUGCCUGUUCGAGCGUCAUUUCAACCAUCAAGCCCCGGCUUGUGUUGGGGACCUGCGGCUGCCGCAGGCCCUGAAAACCAGUGGCGGGCUCGCUAGUCACUCCGAGCGUAGUAAUACAUCUCGCUCAGGGCGUGCUGCGGGUUCCGGCCGUUAAAAAGCCUUAUUUACCCAAGGUUGACCUCGGAUCAGGUAGGAAGACCCGCUGAACUUAAGCAUAUCAAUAAGCGGAGGA